CGGCCCUGCCCAGCAACCUGAUAUCACCGCCACGGGUGCUGCUACAAUGAGCUGUGGCUCCAAAAGGGGCGGGAGCCAGAGCACAGGCAGCCACUUCUGCCUCGGUGCGCCUGGUACUGAGUGCGGUGGCCAGAUUUAGACUUCAUGGCAUCCGUAUGAGGCAGGUGUGGGUUCUCCUGCAUCAAAGACGAGAAAACCAAAGCUCAGGGCACAAAAACCCAAGAACAUACCCAAAGAGGGCACAAGAGAGCCAGGACUUGCACCCAGGGUUCCAGAAGCCAAACCCUGGGUUCCACACAGAGGAAACCUGAAAGCAGCCCUGCCAGGCCAGAGUGGAAGGCCUCCGCAGACUGGUUCAGGAGCUCAUCCCAGUCUGUCCCUCUUGAAGCUGCUCCUUCGGUGCUGAUAAGGAGACUGUUAAAAAGUCAGACGUAAUAAAAAAAUGGGAACCCACCCAGAUGCCCAUCAGCAGGACAGUGAGCCACUGUGGCUUCUUCACGCCAGGCAA